UACGAAGGUGGCAAGCGUUGUUCGGAAUUACUGGGCGUAAAGAGUGUGUAGGCGGUGCUCUAAGUUCGGUGUGAAAUCCCCUGGCUCAACUGGGAGGGUGCGCCGGAAACUGGAGUGCUUGAGCGUGGGAGAGGAAAGCGGAAUUCCUGGUGUAGCGGUGAAAUGCGUAGAUAUCAGGAGGAACACCGGUGGCGAAGGCGGGUCUCUAGGCCGAUACUGACGCUGAGGAGCGAAAGCGUGGGGAGCGAACAGG
rnacentral:rRNA from 1 species